rnacentral:rRNA from 1 species
CUGGGACUGAGACACGGCCCAGAUUCCUACGGGAGGCAGCAGUGGGGAAUAUUGCACAAUGGGCGCAAGCCUGAUGCAGCGACGCCGCGUGAGGGAUGAAGGCCUUCGGGUUGUAAACCUCUUUCAGUAGGAAGAAGCGAAAGUGACGGUACCUGCAGAAGAAGCGCCGGCUAACUACGUGCCAGCAGCCGCGGUAAUACGUAGGGCGCAAGCGUUAUCCGGAAUUAUUGGGCGUAAAGAGCUCGUAGGCGGUUUGUCGCGUCUGCCGUGAAAGUCCGGGGCUUAACCCCGGAUCUGCGGUGGGUACGGGCAGACUUGAGUGAUGUAGGGGAGACUGGAAUUCCUGGUGUAGCGGUGAAAUGCGCAGAUAUCAGGAGGAACACCGAUGGCGAAGGCAGGUCUCUGGGCAUUAACUGACGCUGAGGAGCGAAAGCAUGGGGAGCGAACAGGAUUAGAUACCCUGGUAGUCCAUGCCGUAAACGUUGGGCACUAGGUGUGGGGGACAUUCCACGUUUUCCGCGCCGUAGCUAACGCAUUAAGUGCCCCGCCUGGGGAGUACGGCCGCAAGGCUAAAACUCAAAGGAAUUGACGGGGGCCCGCACAAGCGGCGGAGCAUGCGGAUUAAUUCGAUGCAACGCGAAGAACCUUACCAAGGCUUGACAUGAACCGGAACGGCGCAGAGAUGUGUCGGCCACUUGUGGCCGGUUUACAGGUGGUGCAUGGUUGUCGUCAGCUCGUGUCGUGAGAUGUUGGGUUAAGUCCCGCAACGAGCGCAACCCUCGUUCCAUGUUGCCAGCGGGUUAUGCCGGGGACUCAUGGGAGACUGCCGGGGUCAACUCGGAGGAAGGUGGGGACGACGUCAAAUCAUCAUGCCCCUUAUGUCUUGGGCUUCACGCAUGCUACAAUGGCCGGUACAAAGGGUUGCGAUGCUGUGAGGUGGAGCUAAUCCCAAAAAGCCGGUCUCAGUUCGGAUUGAGGUCUGCAACUCGACCUCAUGAAGUCGGAGUCGCUAGUAAUCGCAGAUCAGCAACGCUGCGGUGAAUACGUUCCCGGGCCUUGUACACACCGCCCGUCAAGUCACGAAAGUUGGUAACACCCGAAGCCGGUGGCCUAACCCGUAAGGGGGGAGCCGUCGAAG